rnacentral:rRNA from 1 species
AUUGAACGCUGGCGGCAUGCUUUACACAUGCAAGUCGAACGGUAACAGGCCGCAAGGUUCUGACGAGCGGCGAACGGGUGAGUAAUGCAUCGGAACGUGCCCAGUCGUGGGGGAUAACUACACGAAAGAGUAGCUAAUACCGCAUACGAUCUAUGGUUGAACGCGGGGGACCGUAAGGCAUCGUGCCAUUGGUGCGGCCGAUGUCAGAUUAGGUAGUUGGUGGGGUAAAGGCUCAGUCAGCCAACGAUCUGUAGCUGGUCUGAGAGGACAACCAGCCACACUAGGAGGUGAACAGGACCAAGGCUCCUAAGAGAGGGAGCAGUGGGAAACUGUAGACAGUGGGCGCAAGUAUGAUCCAGCAAUGCCGCGUGUAGGAAGGAGACCCUCGGGGCGGAAACUGCUUUUUUACGGAACGAAACGGCUUUGGUUAAUACCAGGCGCUAAUGACGGUACCGGAAAAAUAAGCACCGGCUAACUACGUG